GACGAACGCUGGCGGCGUGCCUAAUACAUGCAAGUCGAACGAGAGCGACCGGUGCUUGCACUGGUCAAUCUAGUGGCGAACGGGUGAGUAACACGUGGGUAACCUGCCCAUCAGAGGGGGAUAACAUCCGGAAACGGAUGCUAAAACCGCAUAGGUCUUCGAGCCGCAUGGCUUGAAGAGGAAAAGAGGCGCAAGCUUCUGCUUAUGGAUGGACCCGCGGUGCAUUAGCUAGUUGGUGAGGUAACGGCUCACCAAGGCCGUGAUGCAUAGCCGACCUGAGAGGGUGAUCGGCCACAUUGGGACUGAGACACGGCCCAAACUCCUACGGGAGGCAGCAGUAGGGAAUCUUCCGCAAUGGACGCAAGUCUGACGGAGCAACGCCGCGUGAGUGAAGAAGGUUUUCGGAUCGUAAAACUCUGUUGUUAGAGAAGAACAAGUGCUAGAGUAACUGUUAGCGCCUUGACGGUAUCUAACCAGAAAGCCACGGCUAACUACGUG
rnacentral:rRNA from 1 species